GACGAACGCUGGCGGCGUGCUUAACACAUGCAAGUCGAACGGUAAGGCCCUUCGGGGUACACGAGUGGCGAACGGGUGAGUAACACGUGGGUGAUCUGCCCUGCACUUCGGGAUAAGCCUGGGAAACUGGGUCUAAUACCGGAUAGGACCACUGCCUGCAUGGGUGGUGGUGGAAAGCUUUUGCGGUGUGGGAUGGGCCCGCGGCCUAUCAGCUUGUUGGUGGGGUGAUGGCCUACCAAGGCGACGACGGGUAGCCGGCCUGAGAGGGUGACCGGCCACACUGGGACUGAGAUAUGGCCCAGACUCCUACGGGAGGCAGCAGUGGGGAAUAUUGCACAAUGGCGCAAGCCUGAUGCAGCGACGCCGCGUGAGGGAUGACGGCCUUCGGGUUGUAAACCUCUUUCAGCACCGACGAAGCGCAAGUGACGGUAGGUGCAGAAGAAGGACCGGCCAACUACGUGCCAGCCGCCGCGGUAA
rnacentral:rRNA from 1 species